rnacentral:rRNA from 1 species
UUUAUAUGAGAGUUUGAUCCUGGCUCAGGAUGAACGCUGGCGGCGUGCCUAAUACAUGCAAGUCGAACGAGUUCUUGUUGAUGAUCGGUGCUUGCACCAAGAUUCAACAUGGAACGAGUGGCGGACGGGUGAGUAACACGUGGGUAACCUGCCCUUAAGUGGGGGAUAACAUUUGGAAACAGAUGCUAAUACCGCAUAGA